UGGGGAAUUUUGGACAAUGGGCGAAAGCCUGAUCCAGCAAUGCCGCGUGUGUGAAGAAGGCCUUCGGGUUGUAAAGCACUUUUGUCCGGAAAGAAAUCCUUGGCUCUAAUACAGUCGGGGGAUGACGGUACCGGAAGAAUAAGCACCGGCUAACUACGUGCCAGCAGCCGCGGUAAUACGUAGGGUGCAAGCGUUAAUCGGAAUUACUGGGCGUAAAGCGUGCGCAGGCGGUUUGCUAAGACCGAUGUGAAAUCCCCGGGCUCAACCUGGGAACUGCAUUGGUGACUGGCAGGCUAGAGUAUGGCAGAGGGGGGUAGAAUUCCACGUGUAGCAGUGAAAUGCGUAGAGAUGUGGAGGAAUACCGAUGGCGAAGGCAGCCCCCUGGGCCAAUACUGACGCUCAUGCACGAAAGCGUGGGGAGCAAAACAGGAUUAGAUACCCUGGUAGUCCACGCCCUAAACGAUGUCAACUAGUUGUUGGGGAUUCAUUUCCUUAGUAACGUAGCUAACGCGUGAAGUUGACCGCCUGGGGAGUACGGUCGC
rnacentral:rRNA from 1 species